ACGACCUUACUUGAACAGGAUCUGUUCUAUAGGCUCGUACCUCUGUAUCCUUGAGUUCUAAGGAGACAGGAACCUCAGUCUGGUGGAUGAAUCAUGGCCGUGCGAUCAGAGCGAGAUUAAUAGCUUGACCGGCCUCGGUUGGUUAGUGCUGUAGAGGAUCGUUCUCAACCGAGCUCUAGGCUCGUUUGGGAUGGUCGCACGGUUGUCUGACAGACA
rfam:Vitis vinifera, whole genome shotgun sequence of line PN40024, chromosome 6, chr6